AUUGUCGAAGGGUUAAUUUGACGUCGCAUGUGGCAGGAAAUACCCAAAGGAUCGGCGAACUUUGACCCAGAAAUCAUGAGAUGCAGCGCUGUGUUCAGAAGGCGGGCUCUAUUCGCUGAAACGGCGAUGUUCCCCUGAGCAGAAAUAAAGAAGAACAGCUUUGAGAAAGUCCCGAGUGUGGGAGAAAUGUUGUGGUGUACAGAUGGUUGUUCCUGCUCCAUCGAGAAUCCAGUCCUCCACUGCAUCGUUGGCUAAUUGAGAGCUAUCAAAACAAGACCUGACAGGGAAGAUAGUUUCUAGCCAACCAGAAUGUGCUCACUCCAAUGAUAUUUGAUUGUUCAGACAUUCUGUUUGAAUAUUUGUGGAGUUGACUUCGAGAUAGACACUAAUGUUUGAUGAAUGGUCCUUUUAUUGAAUUUGAAGGAUGCAGUCAAGGCACUGCUUUUGGAAUUUCUCCAAUGCUCUUAUACGUUGCUGGUACACAGUCCGAGACUCACUGCAAUACCAGAAUGGGAUGCAGAUAACUGUUCUGUAUCCUCGAUUUUUGUCAAUUUGCUCAAGUCUUUAUUUUUAAACGCUACUUUUCUGAGCAGGGGUUGCUGAUCUAGUGUUGGAUUCCCCUCAUCAAUGAUGACCCUUUGAGAGAGUAGGCUGUUGAUAUAUAGGAGUGCUCCAUACAUUCCAGAAUCUUUCCUUCAACACCUAUGGGAGGUGGAAUAUUUAGCUGACCAGGUCUGGGUUGAUACAAGUUUGUUUUGGCAACGUUCAAGUACAGGCCCAAUUUCUUGUUUAAAGAAUUAAUGUAAUACAGAGUGUCUUGAAAAUCCAAUUUAGAGUAGGCAAUACUGUACAGCCACCUUUAACUGUAAAUCUUAAAUAUUUAUGGCACAGAUCAACCCUUUUGUUAAAGAAACAGAACACAGUUUUCAAAAUUUGUUUACCUGUUUGUGUUAAGAAUUGCACAUUUUAAAUUUUCAACGGCUUACUCUUUGUCAGAUUAAUCAGAAUAAAUAUAACAAAUUUACUAUAAGUUUUAGCCAUUUCAUUUAUGCCUUUUCAUUCAAUUUAUGAUGGAUUGCUAAUAAUUCAAAAGCCUUGAUGAAGUUCUUACCUAUCUCAUUGAUUUCUUAAAAACUCGGAUCAAAUUAAUUUAACAAAACUAUUCAAUGCAUUGCAAUUAACUGAAUGAAUUGCAUCCUCACUUACUAGAUACACUAUACCCUUUGACAGGGUCAUGCAGAUUCUGGCUCUCCAUUUGAUCUGUCUGCUGUUUGUUGUUGUUUCUCCCAUUCCUAGUCUUGAAUCUGUCAUGUACCUUUUCUAACUAGUACUGCUUGUUGUUUCCCCUUGAUAGGUGAAGUAGUUCAAACUGUAUCAUACAUAUAUAUCUGCAACAUAUUGGGUUGUUCAAUUGUUUAACUAAAAUCCUUCAUUGAAACUAAGAUACAUUAUGAUAUUGUAAUGACCUGCAGUUUUACAAAGAAGGAUGAAAUUUCUUUGAGCCUAUAGCUAAAGCAACAUAUUGAAAAAUAUUUUGCUUGUUAUCCCAAAAGCAAUUUAAUUAACAAUCAGGCUCAGAAAAUAAGUCCCCAAAAGCGUAAAAGAUAUGAAAUACUGAAGAAAAAGCGUCUAUAGUAAAGUGAUAGAAUAUGCAACAGUGACAACAAGAAUGGCAGAACUGAUAGGUUUUCACAUAGACCCAACAUCACUUGUAAAGCAAGCAAACAUGACUAUUAACACCACCCUCCCUUCCCACUGCAUCUUCCCAUGUAACCGCUGAAGGUGCACCCUUCACCUCCUCACUGCUGACCAUCCAAGGGUGAAGCCAUUUCACCUCUCCCUCCUCCAGUCUUGUGCAUUGUACUCGCUGCACCCAAUGUGGUCUAUUUUACCUUGGAGAAACAAAAUGCAAACUGGGUGACCACAUUGCAGAACACCUCCGGUCUGUGCACAAGCAUGACACCACUGUUCCUGUAGCCGCUUAUUUUAACACCAUGUCCUGCUCCCAUGCCAAGUUGUCUGUCCUCUGCAUGCUGCAAUGCUCCACCGAAUCACAGGGAAAACUGGAGGAGCAACAUCUCAUCUUCAGACUAGGUACUUUACAACCUUCUGGACUCAAUAUUGAGUUCAACACCAUUUUUUCCCUUUCUUUUAGCUUUGCUUGUUACAUUUUCUGUCACCAUGUCCUAUAUGGUGCUGUGAGGCAGCAGUGCUAACCACUGAGCUACCAGCAGCAUGGUGGCACAGUGAUUAGCACUGCUGCCUCACAGUGCCAGGAACCUGGGUUUGAUUCCAACCUUGGGUGACAGUUUAUGUGGAACGUGCACGUUCUCCCCAUGUCUGCAUGGGUUUCCUUCGGGUGCUCCAGUUUCCUCCCAGUCCAAAGAUGUGCAGGCUAGGUGGAUUGGCCAUGCUAAAUAGCCCGUAGUGUUCAAGGAUAUAUAGAUUUGGUGGAUUAUAAGGGAUGGAUCUGGGUGGGAUGCUCUGAGGGUUAGUGUGGAAUUGUUGGGCCUAAGGGCCAGUUUCCAUACUGUAGGGAUUCUAUGAUGAUAUAUCAUAUCCCUUCAAUCCAGGGAUAACUGUCUCUUCUUUCCAGUCUGGCAGGUAGACACACCAUUGUUCUGCAAUUCUCACAUUCUGAUCACUUAAUCUGAACUAUUACAUCCUUGCUCCCCAGCAAUCCAGCCUCUGCCCACUACUGCAUAAUUGCUCCUCUCACCACACUUCAUGUCAGCUCCCAUGAAGAGUCAUCUGGAGUUGAAACAUUAGCUUGCUUUCUCUCCAUGGAUGCUACCUGACCUGCGUGAUCUCCAGCACUUUUUGUUUUCGGUACAGAUUCCAGCAUCUGCAGUAAUUUGUUCCUAAAUUUGAGUAACAUCUAACAGAAAACACAGGAAAGAGUCAGAAUAAUGGGAACUGCAGAUGCUGGAGAAUCCAAGAUAAUAAAGUGUGAAGCUGGAUGAACACAGCAGGACAAGCAG